rnacentral:rRNA from 1 species
AACGAACGCUGGCGGCAUGCCUAACACAUGCAAGUCGAACGAGACCUUCGGGUCUAGUGGCGCACGGGUGCGUAACGCGUGGGAACCUGCCCUUAGGUUCGGAAUAACUCCCCGAAAGGGGUGCUAAUAACGGAUAAUGUCUUCGGACCUAAGAUUUAUCGCCUUUGGAUGGGCCCGCGUUGGAUUAGCUAGUUGGUAGGGUAAAAGCCUACCAAGGCGACGAUCCAUAGCUGGUCUGAGAGGAUGAUCAGCCACACUGGGACUGAGACACGGCCCAGACUCCUACGGGAGGCAGCAGUGGGGAAUAUUGGACAAUGGGCGAAAGCCUGAUCCAGCAAUGCCGCGUGAGUGAUGAAGGCCUUAGGGUUGUAAAGCUCUUUUACCCGGGAUGAUAAUGACAGUACCGGGAGAAUAAGCUCCGGCUAACUCCGUG